GCAUGGGUGUAUGAACUGAUUGUUCACAACUUGAUUUUGCCAGUGACUAUUGUUUUACAUUUUCACUUUCAGCAGUUUUUCUGCCCUUUGUCAGGUUAUGAAACUCCUUAGAUAUAAGAAAAAUUGUUUAUAGUUUAUGGUUAGUAACCUUUCUGAAACGUCAAACAGUAUGAGUAUGAUAACUAGACAUUAGCUCUAAUAUUAGGACUAACCCUAACACUAAAUAAUUGAGCUUCAAACUGAAAAGGCAAUACAUGAAUCAAAACAGAAAAAACAGACCAGCAUAUUAGAACACAAAAGGAGUACUUAAUGGCUGAUAUUUUGAGAAUAAGAACAUGACCUUUUGGCAUAUACUUUAUAUUUGCCAAAGUUAUUGAAACAUAUUAUGAUAGCUGUACUGUCAAAAACAUUAACCAUCAGCCAUAUAUACACGUAGCCUAAUGACUAUUUAGUAGGCCAUAAUCUUAUCUUCUGAAUUCAAGGCCCAUUCCUGGUAUAACAAACUUGAGUACCUUUUCAUGCAUCUCAAUGUACCCAUAGGAUAUCUUAUAUUUAAGAUAUUAAUUGAAAGGUGGUUUCCCUCUUUUCAUAUUCUCUGCAUGCUUUUUCUCAGGUGGACAGCUGUCGAAAGAAAAGUAAAAAAUAGGUUGGAGCAGAUCCAGCCUACACAGGAUCCUCCUAGUAAUACCGGGUUCAGGAUGACACCACUCUGUUCAUACUCUUCUCUUUAGUUCCUGUUACAGGAGGUUCUUUCCCUGCUCCUGUGGUUGAGCGAUUGUUGCAAGUCCUCUUGGUAAUUCCAAGUGCAGGAUGUCUCUUCCCUGCAUUUACAGUUGAGUGAUUUGUGGUUUCUGCUCAUAAUAACUGGUUAUAGAUAUUGUCCUGUUCAUCCAGUUGAGUUGAAGCAAUGCCAUGACCCUGUAAUGCCAGGUUCAUUUGGUUGUACUUCUUGCUCAUAUGGUUCUUUUGGGAGUUUGCCCAGUUUCAGCUAAAAGCUAACUUCAUUAUUCCAGUUACUUGAUGCAUUACACCCUGUUUAAUUAUGGUUUGGGUUGCUUAGUCUAUAUAACACGGUCCACAUGCUCUAGCCACUAUGUUUAUACUACAAUGUGUUAAAAUAUAUCUUUUUUUGAUCCCCAACGUCCUAGUGCUGAGGACGAGUUAUGAAUCUUGUUUGUCCAGGGGAGACUAAAUGUACAUAGAUAAUUCUGUCUGUAUUUUACUAUAGAUUGAAUCUUUCAGAACGAAUUGGAAUACCGUGGUCGACGUAUGGAACCUUGUCUGUCUGGUUAAGGUUGUGAAUGUAAAUAAUUAAUUCUGUUUAUAUUUUACUAUGGUUUGCACCUCUCAGAAUGAAUUGCAUUUGCGUACAUCCUCUUUUUCUGCCUGUAUCAGAUUCAUUUCGUAUUUCAAGGGUGAAGAGCAUACCUGUUCCAUAAGUAGUGUGGUACCCCAAAAACUGUGGUCGCUUUCCACUUGGUUUCUAUCUUAUGCACCUAAACUGGGCCCUCCACCUUUUCAGUGUGGGAUUCUAGCUUUAUGUGAGAGGAGGUAGGAUCGUAUUGGAAGUUAACAUUUGUUUUACACUAAAAAUAUAUUUCAGAUAGGUAUUUAUAUCGCACACUUCCCGCCCUUUCUCCUCACUGCUGAUAUUCUUUUUUUAGAACCUGCCAAAUCUCGAAAGUGAGGAUUGAUCAGGAAUAGCAGAGGGAGCUAGCUGCACCAGUAUAGGUGUCACAAUGCUAUUGGUGGAAAAUAGUCACAUAUGUACAUGUUUUGAAAUGGUGUGAAAUUGAUGUGGUAUAUGAACUGGAGCAGUGAUCAUGAAAAUUUUUUAGCAAUAGUUAGAGAGCAGAUGAAGAUCGAGAUAGCUUUGUGAGAGGAGAUAAGUACCGAUCAGAAAUACAUUUUCAGUGUUAGAAAAAUGUUAACAUCAAUUUUCUUGGAGUUUAAUUUUCACAGAUAAAGUCACAAAAGUAUUAGUUUUGUAAAAAAAAAAAGGAAAAAAGAGCACAUGGUAUUAUAGCUCACUUUGACAGUUUUUGAGUUUUUUGUAAUUUUUCUAAUACAGUUAAUAGAAAGAAGACUGUGGAUGAAGAAGUUCCCAUAUUUAAUUUGCUAUUUUCUUUUUAGAAAAUUCAAUAUCAGUUAUUAAGGUUCUCUGCAUUAUGUGCAACUUACUUAUAUUUCCUGGUUUGAAAAAUCAGCUGUGAAACUGGCAAGGCUUUGUGUAUUCUGUUCAAGAUUAAACAAUUUUUGGAAUACUAGGUUUAUUUAUUAUACCUGCUGUUGUGCAGCUAUAUAAUAUAAAUGACUGAAUAGUUUCCAAUGACACUUUAUCUUCACUUUACCUAUCCAUUGUAUAGUUUUUUCAUAGUGACUAUAAAGCAUGUUCACACUAACAAUAUGUUUGAUACUUUUCAUUGUGAUAUAGGUCCAGCUUAUCUCUCUUUAGUUAACUUGCAUUCAGGAUUUCUGAUGAGGAGUAGAAUUCUCUAAUACUAGUAUAGCCCAAUAAUGCUUGUUGAUCAAAGUGUAGAUUGAACUGGACCUCCCUUGAACUUAGACUUGGAUUAAACAAUUUUUGGGAAUACUAAGUUUAUAUGUUAUACCUGCUAUUGUGUGACUAUGUAAUGUGAAGAACUGAAUAGUGGCCAAUGACACUUUUUUUCACUUCACCUAUCCAGUGUAUAGGUUUUUCUCAUAGUGAUUAUAAAGCACAUUCACACCAACAAUAUGUUUUAUACAGGACUGUUUCCAUUUAAGUAUAAUUCCUACAGUAUGGAUGUAAAGGAAGAGGAAACCAACCCUUUGUUAUUGAACCAUAACCAUAGUUAUGACUCAAUGGAAAAAAGUUCAGAAAGUGAGGUUUUAGGGUCUGGUUCAGUUGAAAAAGCAUGUUGGAUACCUCAGCCACAGCCUGUUCAUAGAAGACCAUUUCAUUACCCGUCUAUGAGCAACCUUGGCAAUAUUAAUGAAGACCAGAGCAUUGAAGUGUCAGCAACUGUCUCUCGGCAUCGUUAUUAUAGUAAGCUAACUGAUCCUUCACUUGACACAUUAAAAAUUCCUGACCAUGUGGUACCAUCAUAUUUCUUCUAUCCUUUUCCAUUUCGAAAACUUGUUGGGAAACAAAGUAGUAUUAUAACCAUAUUCUCAAUAUGGAACACUAUGAUGGGGACUUCUUUAUUGAGUAUGCCAUGGGCAGUCCAACAAGCUGGAUUUGCAUUUGCCCUUGUGAUAAUACUGGUAAUGUGUGGUAUAUGUUUAUAUACUGCUUUAAGAAUAAUCAGGAUGCCAGAAUUGGUUGGUAAUGCCACAGAUGAACUGCUUGAAUUUUCUGAUGUUGCUCGACACUUUUUGGGGCGUUGGGCUGAAUGGUUUAGUUUGUUUUUCUCUCUUCUCACACUUCUGGGCAGUGCUGUUGUUUAUUGGGUAUUGAUGACAAACUUUUCCUACCAUACUGUUUUAUACCUUCAUGAAUUGGUUACAGGAGCUUAUGGGGUACCAGGUAAUACAAAUUCAAGUGACUCUGAUUGUAGCCUAGCAUUCAUGGAUCUUUAUGACUCACUCAUUGACUCUGUUCUGGAUUACUCUUCAUAUGGACUUUUGGAGUCAUCUCGGAAUUUUAUUUAUCUGUGGACCCUUAACUUCACAUGUCUUAGGUUCAUCAGAUUCUUCACUUUAUUUUCCUUAUUCAUGAUUCACCUCUUCCAGUUUCUGUUCGACUUUGCAUCUGAAGUGAUAUGUACUUCAUUCACAGAAUCAACAGAUAAUUCCACAUUAUGCAGUUCUAACAGUAAUGAUGAUCUGUUCCACAAAAUCUGGGAUGUUGAUCUGACUGUUCCCUUCUUUCUUCUCGUCAUGAUCUUUCCUGUAAUUAACUUGAAGUCACCCACUUUCUUCACAAAGUUUAAUGCUCUUGGUACUUUAGCUGUGAUGUACUUGAUAGUUUUCACCAGUGUCAAAUCUGCUGAGUGGGGAAUGAAUUUUGAUGUAUACAAUUCAGCAAGUCCUAGUUUUGUACAAUUAUACAUGCCAUCAUUUCCUGCACUAUCUGGAGUGUUGUCCUUGGCAUUCUUCAUCCAUAAUUGUAUCUUGUCUCUUUGUCGGAACCAGAAGAAACCUGAAAACAAUGUUAGGGAUAUAACCAUAGCAUUUAUGCUGGUGUGUAUGACAUAUCUUUUCAUUGGUGUACUGCUGUACAUUACAUUUCCACUGAAGAAAGUUUGUAUUGCUGAUUGCUGACUGAAGGAUGGAAACAUUUUAGUGAAGACAACAAACAACUUCAGAUAUGGCAAGGAGGAGAACACUGAGGAGGUGCUUGUACCAAACAGGAAACAUCACAUCUGCAUAAGUUUCCCCACUGACAGGAUGAGUAACUGGUUACUGCAAAUAGGUACAGCAAAAUUUUGAGGGAUUAUGAAAUUCCUGCAACAGUCGACAAUGGUUCUGAUAUGAGUCCCAAGAUCUCAGGGUCAGCGAUGUCUGCUGAGGAAGUAUAGGCUUUAAUUCACAGUGAGUUCGCUUUUUACAUUCGGCUGAUGGUGUCUUUUUUCUGAGGAAGGAUAUUACCACCGAGUGGAAAUUUCUUUCUAUGGCACCUUACACCUGUUACCACACCUUCGUGUAAUCUCCUGGGUUAGUUAUUGUGCAUUUCUCAGAAGAUCUGCAGUAAGUUUUUCAACGUGUGUUCCUCAAUCCCAGUAGGUAUACUCAAGUUUAUGUAGGCUUAUGUGGAUUGACCUAAUUUUCUCAUGCAAUAAUUUAUGUAUUUCAUGUCUACUCUGCU
rnacentral:misc_RNA from 1 species